rnacentral:rRNA from 1 species
AACGAACGCUGGCGGCGCGUCUUAAGCAUGCAAGUCGAACGGUAAGGGAGAGCUUGCUCUCCCCUAGAGUGGCGGACUGGUGAGUAACGCGUGGGUGACCUGCCCUGAAGAUGGGGAUAGCUAGUAGAAAUAUUAGAUAAUACCGAAUGUGCUCAUUUACAUAAAGGUAAAUGAGGAAAGGAGCUACGGCUCCGCUUCAGGAUGGGCCCGCGUCCCAUUAGCUGGUUGGUGAGGUAAAGGCCCACCAAGGCAACGAUGGGUAUCCGGCCUGAGAGGGUGAACGGACACAUUGGGACUGAGAUACGGCCCGAACUCCUACGGGAGGCAGCAGCUAAGAAUCUUCCGCAAUGGACGAAAUGUCUGACGGAGCGACGCCGUGUGAAUGAAGAAGGCCGAAAGGUUGUAAAAUUCUUUUGCAGAUGAAGAAUAAGAAGAAGAGGGAAUGCUUCUUUGAUGACGGUAGUCAUGCGAAUAACCCCGCUAAUUACC